CAGGGCCUGGCCAAGGGCGCUGCGUGUGACCCCGAGCGGAAGGGCCCCAGUCUGGGUCCUAAUGCGGGUGGCGUCUCCCUUGACAGGCGGCGUUUGGGGACAACAGCGGGGACGGGAGAUAAGGUGACAUACCAGAGCAGAUUUGGUGUGCGCGCUGAUACUCCUCUCCCGACAGGAAACGCGGAGCUAUUUAAAAGACCCUAUCGAUUACUUUAUCUCUCCCAGAGGAAAGCUUCUUGCCGAGAGACAAAAGAUGUUCCCUACUUAGAGAUACAAGGCCACAGCCUUCCACACACAUCGGAGGGUCUGCACAAGCGACGUCCAAUUAGGCUGCGGGGAGAGGAGAGCCACGUUCACACCGCAGACUGCACAAAUGAGUGCGUGCCAAGAGGGCAGCGGGAGCGCAGAGGGGAGGAAGGGGCAUUUCACAGGAUCAUCCCCUUUUAAAUUUUUUCACACAAAGUAAGUGGCUGUGCUCUUGAAGCACAAAUGUGUACCCGUGUCGUUUCAGCAUAUUUAAAGCACACCAGUAAGCACAUGCAAAGUUACUGGUCGCUGUGAGUGGAUUCCACACACGUCUGCAACGUAAAUGCUCCGCUGUGCUCCUUGUCAGGGCUUGAAUGUCUACAACCGUCAAGUGUUCCCUUAAAAUAUGGAGCUGGGUCCACACAACCCGUUAUAGGGCGCCCACUUUGUGUUCGAAUUCCCGCAUUUCGCCCAUUUGCUGGGGCCGCAGAAUGUCCCCGGCGAUAUCCCCGAUGACACUGAAUGUGCUCCGGAAUCUCGCAGCUUGCUGGCCUCUGGGUUCCCUGAGCCGUGCCGGGAGGAGGCUCUGGGUAAAUGCUGAUUGGACCGAAGGGACGGUAUCGAAUGGUUUUCCCCGGUACAGCAGUUUGCCAUCUACGCACUCGCAAUGUGCUCCACCCUGACCGUGGAAACUUCGCGGCGUUUCCGCAGAGCAGGUUGAAAGGCAAGACAAGAAAAGAAGAUGCCGAGGAAGGAAGGGUGGCGGCAGGCCACAGGAAGGUUCGAUCGCUCGCUUAAUUUCCAGCUGAAAUUCAACACAGACCAGGCCGCAAUAACCCAGAGCUGAAGCUCCGGGCGCCACGGCCUGGGUUGUCCACGCGAGCCAGGGACGCCGCACAGAUAUGAGCUCAACUCUUCUCCUUCCGGGAAGCCACGCUGCCCCAGGCCUCGCCAGCCCCCCCGCGCUUUGGACAAAAACGGCUGACCGUUCGUCCAGCCCCGCUUCUCCCCAACCUUGCGCGCUCACGCCCAGGGUUCCUCCAAGGCCGCAGUUCCCCAAGCUGCACCCACGCCAGGCAGCCGUGACCUUCAAUGACGGGAUCCUGAGGGACUGAUUCGCGCGUCCCGGCUCUCUUGGCCUCUGCGCGCUGCUUUCGCUGAAGCGGUUCGUAGCGGUGGGGUGUGGGGGUUGGGGCACCAGCGGGAACACCGAGGAGAAAGCGCCAAAUUAACACAAAACGAUAACGGAAGCUUGAAAACGACUCCCUCGGAUCUGGCAGAUCCUAACGCGAGUUUUAAAGUGGGUCAUAUCUACGAAUUCAAGAUAAAUUCGGUUUUAGAAACAUACUCCCCAAAGCACAAAAAAGUGGCUUACACAAAGAUAUUAACAAGAAAACUGUCAAUGGCAAAAAACGGAAAGGAGUUACUCUUAGAAAAAUGUAGAUGCCCCCCCCCAAAGGCAAUGUAGGAAUAAUACUGAAAUCUGCAGAAAAUGUCUCUAGAAAGAUAUAUGUUUUAAAAGCUGGUGACCGCCUGAAUGGGGAUGGAAAUUAAGAGGCCCAAGGAAACCUUCUUGAGUGAUGCAAAUGUAUUUGUAUCUUGAAUGUGGUGGUCCUUACAGGGGUUUACUCCCUGUGUCAAGACUCAUGGAACCGUAUGUACAUUUGAACUGUUCAUUUUGUUUUUGGUACAUUAUGCCUUAAUAAAGGUGGUUUGAAAAAUAAAUAAACCCACUAACAAUUUGGCCUUUAGGGAAGGAAACUGGGUAGCUGGGGGAAAGGCAUGGGACACUUUACAUUGCAUCCUUUUCACCUGUUUGUUUUGGGUUUUGUCAUUGUUUUUAUGGUGUAAUAUGUAUUCAAAAUACAUAAAUAGGAUGUUGGGUGAUGUGAAUAUAAAGCAAUUGUUAAAGAAACCAACAAAUGCAAAAACAGAGAUGCUUGUACACCCUGUUUUAGGGAUUAAAAAAGAAAAAAGCAUGCUCUGUCCAA